rnacentral:lncRNA from 10 species
CUUGGAGGGGUGAGGGGCCCUGUUAGUCUGACUUUGAAGAAGACCAGCCUUCCAGACUCGCUUGGUGCCCUGACAGCAGCUUGUGUUUCUUCCUUCAAGAGUCUGCUUAGAGAUAAUAAAGAUCAACACUAUUCCUUAUAACAACACCUCAGUAUCCUGCGAGCUGUACACACCAGAGUUUAUUUAACCACCUUGCUGCUGGCAUGAAAGCCUCAGGAGCCCUGGGCUCCCCCAGUGUUGCCUGGGUCUGACUUUGCCUCAGUGAAAACUGCCUCGAAUUCUUUCUUGCACCGAUGGGCAGAUGGGCAGUGUCGGAGGAUCGUGUCAUCUGUCCCGUGGCGCUGGUUGGCUUGGUCAAGUCAGUGUUCAAACUAUCUCCUGCUCUUUCAAGGGGAUCUGGGGCUCUAGAAGAUUAGAGGACUUGGAGAGGUUAGUGACUUGCUCGAGGUCGGCUAGGAAGCAAGACCCAGGAUUCCAACUCAGGUCUGUGUGAUUCCUCUGCAAAAUGGAGAGGUGGAAGGAUGGAUGUCAGGUCUGAUGGAUGGAUGGAUGCCUACAUCAAGAUACAUGCAUAGAUGGAGAGAUGGCUGGCUACCUCAUGAAUGCUGGACUGUUGUGAGAAUCAAACGAGAUAAUGUAUGCUGAGGCAUGCUGUGAACACUACGUGCUGGGUACAGGAGAAUGGAGGCUCCAGAGUGAAAUUAAUGACACUUUGUCGAUGAAGAUCUUGAUUGUGACCUCUGUGGAAAAUGAGCCAUGAACCAACCAAUGAUAAGUCUACUUUUCUUCCACGUAACAACCACAGGAUAGAUGACAUUCAUUUUCUAAGAAACAAAAUCUUGGCAGUUAGAUCCGUGGGGUAAAGAAUAUAGAUACUAAUAAUGAAAACCAUGUAGCUGGUCUUAUUAUUCUCUAAUCAUGAAGACCAUUAUUGUUAUUUGUGGACUAAGGAGCAGAAAGACUGAUAGUGGACAUAGGCCAGCUGAUUUAAUAAUUUAAGAAAGAACUGUUAUCCUGAGUAAGGAGCAUAGAGACAAAUAUAAAAUGAACGCACUCUACCUGAUUUAAUUAUAGUCUUCUGGUGAAGAUCUUGCUGUUAUCUCUGUGAAUCAGGAGAGAAGAGAUUGAUAAGGAAUAGACGAGAUUGGAUUUGGUCAUUUCCCCAAGGUGAAGAGCAUGGCGAUUUCUUCUGUGGUAAGGAGCAAUAAUGAAGACCAUGGUUGAUUUAAUCAGUCUCUGCUGAUGAAGAUCUUGGCUGUUACCUUUGUGUGUAAGGAAGCUAAAGACUUAAGUAAAUAACAGUCCAAAAACUUGUCAAUUAGGAAUGAAUGCGCAAUGAUUCAAUUAUUCUCCAGCGAGGAAGAUCAUG